AUCGUGGUCGGUUGUAUUAUCACA
rnacentral:miRNA from 1 species